rnacentral:rRNA from 1 species
GAUGAACGCUGGCGGCGUGCCUAAUACAUGCAAGUCGAGCGAACAGACAAGGAGCUUGCUCCUUUGACGUUAGCGGCGGACGGGUGAGUAACACGUGGGUAACCUACCUAUAAGACUGGGAUAACUUCGGGAAACCGGAGCUAAUACUGGAUAAUAUUUCGAACCGCAUGGUUCGAUAGUGAAAGAUGGUUUUGCUAUCACUUAUAGAUGGACCCGCGCCGUAUUAGCUAGUUGGUAAGGUAACGGCUUACCAAGGCGACGAUACGUAGCCGACCUGAGAGGGUGAUCGGCCACACUGGAACUGAGACACGGUCCAGACUCCUACGGGAGGCAGCAGUAGGGAAUCUUCCGCAAUGGGCGAAAGCCUGACGGAGCAACGCCGCGUGAGUGAUGAAGGUCUUCGGAUCGUAAAACUCUGUUGUUAGGGAAGAACAAAUUUGUUAGCAACUGAACAAGUCUUGACGGUACCUAACCAGAAAGCCACGGCUAACUACGUGCCAGCCGCCGCCGUAA